GACGAACGCUGGCGGCGUGCUUAACACAUGCAAGUCGAACGGAAAGGCCCUGCUUUUGUGGGGUGCUCGAGUGGCGAACGGGUGAGUAACACGUGAGUAACCUGCCCUUGACUUUGGGAUAACUUCAGGAAACUGGGGCUAAUACCGGAUAGGAGCUCCUGCUGCAUGGUGGGGGUUGGAAAGUUUCGGUGGUUGGGGUUGGACUGGCGGCUUAUCAGCUUGUUGGUGGGGUAGUGGCUUACCAAGGCUUAGGCGGAUAGCCGGCCUGGGAGGGUGACCGGCCACAUCGGGACUGAGAUAGGGACACGGCUCCUACGGGAGGCAGCGGGGGGGAAUAUUAAACAAGAAAAGGGAGCCAGAUGCGGAAGCAGCGCGUGCGGGAUAAUGGGCUUCGAGUUGUAAACCGCUUUCGCCUGUGAUAGGGAGUGAGUGACGGUAAUGAAUAAAGAAGCACCGGCUAACUACGUG
rnacentral:rRNA from 1 species